rnacentral:rRNA from 1 species
UACCAGCUCUCCGAGUGGUAGGGAUGAUUAUUGGGCUUAAAGCGUCCGUAGCCGGCUUAGCAAGUUUCCUGUUAAAUUCAGCGACCUAAUCGUUGAGCCGCGGGAAAUACUACUAGGCUAGGAGGCGGGAGAGGUCGACGGUACUUCUGGGGUAGGGGUGAAAUCCUAUAAUCCCGGGAGGACCACCAGUGGCGAAGGCUGUUGACUAGAACGCGCUCGACGGUGAGGGACGAAAGCUGGGGGAGCGAACCGGAUUAGAUACCCGGGUAGUCCCAGCUGUAAACGAUGCGAGCUAGGUGUUGGGGUGGCUACGUGCCACUUCAGUGCCGCAGGGAAGCCAUUAAGCUCGCCGCCUGGGGAGUACGGCCGCAAGGCUGAAACUUAAAGGAAUUGGCGGGGAGCACCACAAGGCGUGAAGCUUGCGGUUC